rnacentral:lncRNA from 1 species
AAUGCAUUAUUUUAUAUACCUGCAUACAUACAUAGUAAUACAUACAUACAUAUCUAAUACAUACACAUAUUUAUUAUUAUUUUCUCUCUUCUAACAUCUCUGUGUUCAUCUCUCUCUCAACAAAGAGAGAGGAUGCCAUCUUCACCUACUCUUCUCACAGGAAAACGACGGUGCCGGAAUGAGACGACGGACGUCGGAACGGAACC